rnacentral:rRNA from 1 species
UCUACGGUAAGCAGCAGUGAGGAAUAUUGGUCAAUGGGCGGAAGCCUGAACCAGCCAAGUAGCGUGCAGGAUGACGGCCCUACGGGUUGUAAACUGCUUUUAUACGGGAAUAACGCGCCUUACGUGUAGGGCUUUGCAUGUACCGUAUGAAUAAGGACCGGCUAAUUCCGUGCCAGCAGCAGCGGUAAUACGGAAGGUCCGGGCGUUAUCCGGAUUUAUUGGGUUUAAUGGGAGCGUAGGCCGGAUGUCAAGCGUGCUGUGAAAUGUCUGGGUUCAACCCGGGCAUUGCAGGGCGAACUGGCGUGCUUGAGUCCGCUGAAAGCAGGCGGAGUUCGUCGUGUAGCGGUGAAAUGCUUAG